rnacentral:tRNA from 1 species
GGGGGCGUAGCUCAGUUGGGAGAGCGAUGCGUUCGCAACGCAUAGGUCAAGGGUUCGAAUCCCUCCGUCUCCACCA